CAAUAGCGUAUAUUAAAGUUGUUGCGGUAAAAAAGCUCGUAGUUGGAUUUCUGCUGAGAGCGACCGGUCCAUACCAUGUAUGCGUAUCUGGCUUGCUCUCGGCAUCCUCUCGAUAGACGUUACUGCGCUUGAUUGCGUGGUGCGGAUCUCGGGACUUUUACUUUGAGGAAAUUAGAGUGUUCACGGCAGGCUUUCGCCAGAAUACAUUAGCAUGGAAUAAUACUAUAGGAUCUUGGUUCUAUUUUGUUGGUUUCUAGAAUUGAGAUAAUGAUUAAUAGGGACAAUUGGGGGCAUUCGUAUCAACACGUCAGAGGUGGAAUUCUUGGAUUGUGUUGCGACGAACUACUGCGAAAGCAUUUGCCAAGGAUGUUUUCAUUGA
rnacentral:rRNA from 1 species